rnacentral:rRNA from 1 species
AUUGAACGCUGGCGGCAUGCUUUACACAUGCAAGUCGAACGGAAACAGGCCGCAAGGUGCUGACGAGUGGCGAACGGGUGAGUAAUGCAUCGGAACGUGCCCAGUCGUGGGGGAUAACUGCUCGAAAGAGCAGCUAAUACCGCAUACGAUCUAUGGAUGAAAGCGGGGGACCGUAAGGCCUCGCGCGAUUGGAGCGGCCGAUGUCAGAUUAGGUAGUUGGUGGGGUAAAGGCUCACCAAGCCAACGAUCUGUAGCUGGUCUGAGAGGAUGGCCAGCCACACUGGAACUGCGACACGGUCCAGACUCCUACGGGAGGCAGCAGUGGGGAAUCUUGCGCAAUGGGCGAAAGCCUGGCGCAGCGACGCCGCGUGGGUGGCGAAGGCCUUCGGGUUGUAAAGCCCUGUGGGAGAGAACGAACUGGCAUACAGUGAAUACCUGUGUGUCUUGACGGUACUCUUUUAGCAAGCAUCGGCUAACUCUGUGCCAGCCGCCGCCGUAACAC